rnacentral:rRNA from 1 species
UGGGGAAGAUUAGACAAUGAGCGCAAGCCUGAUCCAGCCAUGCCGCGUGAGUGCUGAAGGCCCUAGGGUUGUAAAACUCUUUCACCGGUGAAACUCAUGACGGUAACCGGAGAAGAAGCCCCGGCUAACUUCGUGCCAGCAGCCGCGGUAAUACGAAGGGGGCUAGCGUUUUUCGGAUUUACUGGGCGUAAAGCGCACGUAGGCGGACUUUUAAGUCAGGGGUGAAAUCCCGGGGCUCAACCCCGGAACUGCCUUUGAUACUGGAAGUCUUGAGUAUGGUAGAGGUGAGUGGAAUUCCGAGUGUAGAGGUGAAAUUCGUAGAUAUUCGGAGGAACACCAGUGGCGAAGGCGGCUCACUGGACCAUUACUGACGCUGAGGUGCGAAAGCGUGGGGAGCAAACAGG